UUACAGCACGUGCACGGUAUGUGGGGGGGCAGUGUACACAGGGCCGAAAGAGUAUUACAGCAUGUGCACAGUAUGUGGGGGGGCAGUGUACACAGGGCCGAGAGAGCAUUACAGCACGUGCACAGUAUGUGGGGGGACAGUGUACACAGGGCCGAGAGAGCAUUACAGCACGUGCACAAUAUGUGGGGGGACAGUGUACACAGGGCCGAGAGAGCAUUACAGCACGUGCACAGUAUGUGGGGAGGGGACAGUGUACACAGGACCGAGGGAGGCCAGUAGGGCAGGACAGCGAGGGGCACAGUGUAUAGAGAGGGAAGAUGAGCCUGAAGAAAUAGGGGCCUGGCAGCCAGUCUCAAAAGCUGCACUGGCGAUCUACCCGGGGGAGCAGCGUAGUCAAACAUGCUGUACCUGUAGAGGCAUCACUUUGAUGGCACCCGACAAGGCAAACUGACCUCGGCCAGGCCCGGAAGCCAGCAGGUAAUCCAUAUACAUAAUGUUUUCUUUCUUUAAACAGUGCAGUGCUGUCAUCGCUUUAAAUAAUCUUGCCUCUGUCUGUCUUUCUUCUUUCUUUCUUUCUUUCUUUCUUUCUUUCUUUCUUUCUUUCUUUCUUUCUUUCUUUCUUUCUUUCUUUCUUUCUUUCUUUCUUUCUUUUUCUUUCCUUCUUUCCUUCCUUCUUUCCUUCUUUCUGUCUGUCUUUCUUUCGUUCUUUCUUUCUUUCUUUCUUUCUUUCUUUCUUUCUGUCUGUCUGUCUGUCUGUCUUUCUGUCUUUCUUCAGAACUCCCACAGACUGGUUCACUCCCCAGAUGACUGUAACGAGUGGGGCUGGGUUGGUGUUGAAGCCAGGAGUCAGGAAUACUCCACAUAGACAGCAGAAGCACAAUUACUUGAGCCAUCAUCACUGUCUCCCAGUGUCCGCACUGAUGAGAAGCUACAGUCAGGAGCCAGAGCCAGGAACUGGACCCAGGACUCCAGGGUCCUACAGGCUAGGCUAAGUACCCAUUUCCUUCCCUUUCCUCGUAAGCCAAAUGACAGUUACCAACUGGAAAAUGAUCGAGCCCCACAGAUAAGAUCUUUAUAAUCUUGUAAAAAUACCAAAGGGCUCACAGUAAAAAUGGGAAUGUGUGGCUAAUAAACAUGUAGAAAAGUGAAGAUAAAUGUUCAGUUCCUCUAGGCACCUAGGGGCUUCCAACCAACAUGGAGCAACAGGAAUCAGAUUUAUUUUCCCUUCUUAAAUGAAGAAAACCCCAGAGAAAAUACGUGAAACAAUAAGUGUUUCAAACACUAGACAUCAAUCCGGGAGCUCCGGCAGUGAUCCUUGGGAGAGGGAAACUGGUGAGACCAGGCCUGUGAUGGCUCCAGCCACAGAGCAACCUACUGCAUGCACAGGUAACAUGGCUCUCACAUCACCUUGUGGAGACUGGGUUUGGAAAACUAGCGUGCUAGGACACUGAUCUGGCUGCUGCCCUGUGCUGUAAGCAAUAAGCCAUUUUUUUCUCUGAUCCAAAGCUUCAAAUCUCUCUCUCUCUCUCUUACAUACGCAUAUAUGAAGGUAUUUAUGAGGAUAUUUCAAAUGCUGGUAGAAAAAAAUGAACACGUAAGUUUAUUUUGGUGCAAAAAUAUUUUGAAAUCCAGGCAUGGUUCUUUUUAUUUUUUAUUUUUAUUUAUUUUUAUUUUCUGACAGGCAGAGUGGACAGUGAGAGAGAGAGACAGAGAGAAAGGUCUUCCUUUGCCGUUGGUUCACCCUCCAAUGGCCGCCGCGGCCGGCGCACCACACUGAUCCGACGGCAGGAGCCCAGUACUUAUACUGGUCUCCCAUGGGGUGCAGGGCCCAAGGACUUGGGCCAUCCUCCACUGCACUCCCGGGCCACAGCAGAGAGCUGGCCUGGAAGAGGGGCAACCAGGACAGAAUCCGGCGCCCCGACCAGGACUAGAAUCCGGUGUGCCAGCGCCGCCAGGCGGAGGAUUAGCCUAGUGAGCCGCGGUGCUGGCGGUUUUCUUCAUAAUGCAUACUUUCCAUGAACUUUCUUUGUUUUUUAAAAGAGUUCUUUAUUUAUGUGGAAGGCAGAGUUACAGUGUGAGAGGGAGAGAAGAAGAGAGAGAGUUCUUCACUGUUGAUGAACAGUGCCUUGAAGACCCAUAGGUGUCAAAGGAUCACUCAGCACAUGCCGCAUGUUCUCUCCCAAACAUGUUUUCUCAUUUCUCACAAUAUGGAAAGCUUCUGAGUCUUUGAGUUAUAUUUUUGUUGCAGUGGAGGAUGGCCCAAGUCCUUGGGCCCUGCACCCCAUGGGAGACCAGGAUAAGUACCUGGCUCCUGCCAUCGGAUCAGUGGCGGCCAUUGGGAGGUGAACCGAUGGCAAAAAGGAAGACUUUUCUCUCUGUCUCUCUCUCUCACUGUCCACUCUCUGUCAGGAAAAAAAAAAUUCCAUAUUUAUAAUUUCCUUCUUUUCUCACUUUACUAUAACCGUUUGAUAUAAGCCAAACUAGAACUUAACGUUUUGAUCAGAAAGCUCUUACCUCAAACAUCCUAUUCACCGCCACAGGUCAACCUUCUACAAAAAGAGAUUGAUCUUCCACAUGCUGGUUCCCUCCCCAGAUGGCCAAAACAGCCAGGACUGGCCCAGGCCAAAGCCAGGAGCCAGGAGCUCCAAUCAGAUCUCUGAUGUGGAUGGCAGGGGCCCAAGCAUUUGGGCCAGCUUCCGCUGUUCCUAGGUGCAAUAGCACAGAGCUGGAUUGGAAAUGGAGCAGCCAGGACUCAAACUGGAGCACACUUGGGAUGCCGGCAUCGCAGG